rnacentral:lncRNA from 1 species
CCCCCUGAAGCUACAGAGAACAGCGAGCCCAAGUUGAACUGGAUUCACUGUAACAACCAACUUCUUCUUCCCGAUUCCAGCUCCUUUGGGCAUUUCCAAGCGAAGGCAAAUGGCGUGGCCUCAGGAUCGCCAGCGGGCUCGGCCGGGAGCGAGGCCCUGCGACGAGGGCUGUGUCUGACCAGGCUCUCCGUUACGAAGCUGAACCACCUGGUGACGGAGCAGCUGGUAAAGUGCGGCGUCCCAGCGGUGGGCAUUUCGCCCUUUGGCACCUGGAGGACAGCAGGCAAGAAAGUCAGCCAGGCUGGCAUUUCUGCCAUAAGGGACGCCUUGGAUGCUGGCUACAUCCCGGUCGUGCAUGGGGACUGUGCUCUGGACUCUGAACAGCACUGCUGUAUCUUAUCAGGGGAUGCUAUCAUUGAGGUUCUGUCCAGGGAAUUCUCCCCCCAGCGAGUGGUUUUCUUGACUGAUGUCAGUGGAAUCUAUGACCGUCCACCUGAUACCCCAGGUAUGGUGUAAGGCUCAAGAAGAAAAAAUGGAGUCUAUUCCUGUCCUUCCCCCAAUAUCUGUUCAUGUUCUGUGCUUUUUUAUUGGGUUCAGUAGGUUAAUAUGCUAGCUAUUCACGUCUGUAUUUUAUCCUGGUGUGGCUCACAAACCACAUGAGUUUUGUAGUCUCAGCGCAAUCUCUACAGGAUAAUUUAGAGCUUAUCACACGAAUAUGGCAGGGUUGCUAGUGUCUACCCAAAUGAAUGCAAUGACUGGGAUGGUGCGGGGGCUGCAGAUCGGAUUUGAGGGAUAUCAGGAGAGCUGUUUAGAGGCCCAGAACUGGAAUGUCGGAGCGCUGCAGGUCUAGAUUGAGGGGCAGCAGCAAAGUGGUGUGAGAGCCAAGGACAGAAGUAGCAGCAGACCUGAAGCACAUGGGUCUCACAAAAAAAGCCUCAACUGUAACUGCCUCUAAACAGUGUUGUUUGCAGUGCGGUUGUAGCCAUGUUGGUCCCAGGAUAUUAAAGAGACAAGGUGGGUGAGGUGAGAUCUUUUAUUGAACCAACUUCUGGUCCAAUGUGUAGCCAUUUGCACCUGUACAAAGAGGAUGUGAAAUGCUACCACCCACUUUGCAUAAAUGUAAAUGACACAUAAGUGCAAAGCAAAAAAGAAUUAGGCCUCAGGUAUAUUAUUAUUAUUAUUAUUUAUUUGUAUUACCAUAGCACCUAGGAGCCCCAGCCAUGGACCACAUUGGACAUAGCCAGAUGACACCUGAUAAAAAUGAUGUGCAAAGAAUGGUUCCUUAUGGAGGGAGGGAUAGCUCAGUGGUUUGAGCACUGGCUUGCUAAAUCCAGGGUUAUGAGUUCAAUCCUUGAGGGGGGCCAUUUAGGGAUCUGGGACAGUCAGGGACAGUACUUGGUUGACCUUUCAAGGUCCCUUCCAGUUCUAUGAGAUAGGUAUCUCCAUAUAUUUAUCUAUUAAUAACUAUCAUACAUAAUUCAGUGUAUGAUGCAUUAAUUAACAUUUUAGAUAGAAA